UACGUAGGUGGCAAGCGUUAUCCGGAAUUAUUGGGCGUAAAGCGCGCGCAGGCGGUUUCUUAAGUCUGAUGUGAAAGCCCACGGCUCAACCGUGGAGGGUCAUUGGAAACUGGGGAACUUGAGUGCAGAAGAGAAAGGCGGAAUUCCACGUGUAGCGGUGAAAUGCGUAGAGAUGUGGAGGAACACCAGUGGCGAAGGCGGCUUUUUGGUCUGUAACUGACGCUGAGGCGCGAAAGCGUGGGGAGCAAACAGG
rnacentral:rRNA from 1 species